rnacentral:rRNA from 1 species
CCUACGGGAGGCAGCAGUGGGGAAUAUUGCACAAUGGGGGAAACCCUGAUGCAGCGACGCCGCGUGAAGGAAGAAGUACUUCGGUAUGUAAACUUCUAUCAGCAGGGAAGAAAAUGACGGUACCUGACUAAGAAGCCCCGGCUAACUACGUGCCAGCAGCCGCGGUAAUACGUAGGGGGCAAGCGUUAUCCGGAUUUACUGGGUGUAAAGGGAGCGUAGGCGGUGCAGCAAGUCAGAAGUGAAAGCCCGGGGCUCAACUCCGGGACUGCUUUUGAAACUGUUGAACUAGAGUGCAGGAGAGGUAAGUGGAAUUCCUAGUGUAGCGGUGAAAUGCGUAGAUAUUAGGAGGAACACCAGUGGCGAAGGCGGCUUACUGGACUGUAAAUGACGCUGAGGCUCGAAAGCGUGGGGAGCAAACAGGAUUAGAUACCCCAGUAGUC